rnacentral:rRNA from 1 species
GUUUUCCUACGGGACGCAGCAGUGAGGAAUAUUGGUCAAUGGGCGGAAGCCUGAACCAGCCAAGUCGCGUGAGGGAAUAAGGCCCUACGGGUCGUAAACCUCUUUUGCCGGGGAGCAAGGGCCGGGACGCGUCCCGGCCCGGAGAGUACCCGGAGAAAAAGCAUCGGCUAACUCCGUGCCAGCAGCCGCGGUAAUACGGAGGAUGCGAGCGUUAUCCGGAUUUAUUGGGUUUAAAGGGUGCGUAGGCGGGCUUUUAAGUCAGCGGUAAAAAUUCGGGGCUCAACCCCGUC